rnacentral:rRNA from 1 species
AUUGAACGCUGGCGGCAUGCUUUACACAUGCAAGUCGAACGGCAGCGCGGGCUUCGGCCUGGCGGCGAGUGGCGAACGGGUGAGUAAUGCAUCUGAACGUGCCCAGUAGUGGGGGAUAGCCCGGCGAAAGCCGGAUUAAUACCGCAUACGACCUGAGGGUGAAAGCGGGGGACCGAAAGGCCUCGCGCUAUUUGAGCGGCCGAUGUCGGAUUAGCUAGUUGGUGGGGUAAAGGCUUACCAAGGCGACGAUCCGUAGCUGGUCUGAGAGGACGACCAGCCACACUGGGACUGAGACACGGCCCAGACUCCUACGGGAGGCAGCAGUGGGGAAUUUUGGACAAUGGGGGCAACCCUGAUCCAGCCAUGCCGCGUGCGGGAAGAAGGCCUUCGGGUUGUAAACCGCUUUUGUUCGGGAAGAAAUCCUCUGGGCUAAUACCCCGGGGGGAUGACGGUACCGGAAGAAUAAGCACCGGCUAACUACGUG